UUCAAUUCUUUUUUGUGAAAUAUGCCAUUCUGAAAAGUCAAGUGCUUGAACAUUCCAUCAGUCUUCUCGAAACUUGUAAAUCGUUAAAUUAAUUUAAUUAACCAAAUUCUAUAAGACAAAAAAGUUAAGCAAAUAAGCAAGCAUCUCUUCUAUACCUCUGUUUUUACAUCGUUCUAAUUUUUUGGUUUACACGACAUGUAGCAUAGGUUGGGGCUUACUAAAGGAAUUCAAAUAAUUUUUCGCAUUGAAUAUUGCUU